CCCUGAUCUCCGGUCACCGCGUGAAUAAGGCACGCGGCACGUACACAGCCAGGCAAUCCACCCAGUAACCCUUUGCCAUGCCCGCAGCCAUGACCCAUUUUUGAUCCAACCCAACCAACUUACCAAGGAGGCUUGGAUCGAGAUUUUUACACCAAACUAAUAAGCUAUAAGCAUGACUAGAACCAGCACUGUCGCAAGCUUCAAUGUAGUCGUGGCGGUCAGAGCGUCGUGGAAGAAGACGCAGAGGAGACAAGAAGCAUGCAUCUUGUAAUAGCAUGUUGAUCAUCGUGGACGGGGGGCGCCAUUAGUGAAACAGCAUCGACGAUUCGACAUGCUAGAAACUCAAGAAACGACAGAGCUACAUUUGCAGUUAAAAUACAUUUUCAUUAUUGUGUUUGUAGAUUAAAAGAAGGUGCGUCGUGAAUAGUUUGUUAUAUAUAACUAAUAGUUAGCGAGGCAAGCGUAAAGCGGCAUUAUACACCAGCUAGUUGAUUCGGAAUACAUGCGCGGUUUAUAUGUGCGCGUGCGUGCGCGUUUGUUCCUGCGUCAGCGCGUGCGUGUGCGUUUGUGCCUGCGUCAGCG